UCUGUUUUGCAUGCAGGAGAUGUGGGGUAGAGUCCCGCAGGUCUUA
rnacentral:tRNA from 1 species